UACAGAGGGUGCAAACGUUGCUCGGAAUUAUUGGGCGUAAAGCGCACGUAGGUGGCCAUGUAAGUCAGGAGUGAAAGCCCUCGGCUUAACCGGGGAAGUGCUUUUGAAACUGCAUGGCUUGAGUACUGGAGAGGGUCGCGGAAUUCCCGGUGUAGAGGUGAAAUUCGUAGAUAUCGGGAGGAACACCAGUGGCGAAGGCGGCGACCUGGACAGAUACUGACACUGAGGUGCGAAAGCGUGGGGAGCAAACAGG
rnacentral:rRNA from 1 species